UCAGGCCUAACACAUGCAAGUCGAGCGGGGUUUUCGGACCUAGCGGCGGACGGGUGAGUAAUGCGUAGGAAGCUACCCGAUAGAGGGGGAUACCAGUUGGAAACGACUGUUAAUACCGCAUAAUGUCUACGGACCAAAGUGUGGGACCUUCGGGCCACAUGCUAUCGGAUGCGCCUACGUGGGAUUAGCCAGUUGGUGAGGUGAUGGCUCACCAAGGCGACGAUCUCUAGCUGGUUUGAGAGGAUGAUCAGCCACACUGGAACUGAGACACGGUCCAGACUCCUACGGGAGGCAGCAGUGGGGAAUAUUGGACAAUGGG
rnacentral:rRNA from 1 species